CGCACGCUCGUGAGCAGGGGCGAGAAGGAGAACCACCGCCCACCCCAGGAGCGCGAGGAGGACGAGCCCGACGUCGAGGUCGCGCGCAUCGAGCCCGAGAUCCCGCGCCUCUCCUGCCGCUUCCUCCACCUCCGCAUCUUCCCAUGGCUGCACCAACGAGACAGAGGGCGAGUUAGUCUUCCCACGCCAUCGGCCACGGAUCCAGGCGGCGACCCGCCCCCAGCAGUGACCCACACCUGAUCCUGAUUGGAUCUGGGCGGAGCCCCACCCAAGAAGCAGCCGGAAGGCCUUGCCAAAGCUAGCCGCGGACCCCAUAUCAGCUGCUGCAGGAGUGCCCUUCGGCGGUGAGGAUGCUUAGGGCGACAUGGCGCUGGUGCUCCCCAGCGCGGCCACUUCGUCGACGGCCAGGAUUCUUGCUGUCUCCAGUUCCUCAAAUUCUCGUACAUGCCAGCGUCCGAUUUAUGCUUGUGGUCGCCUUCCUGCCAUAGCUACAUCCACGAAUCUGCAAGUUUAGCUCUCCUCUCUUUAACCUUCCUUUCUUUAACCCUCUAUUCUUUCUGUCUGUUUGAUUCGUCAACAAUAUUCGUGUGAAUGAUUUUUUCCAUGGCAGGUGUAGGGUUGUUUAUUAAAGGCUAGGUGAUGUCCUGUGUCUUGGUUGGUGGUCAAUCAUCUUUUGGUUUCUCGUAUUGAUCCUGAGAGACCAGACCUGCUAUUCUCUUUGCAGGAGAGGCUUUUGUUGCCUAGCUUAAUUUUGUUUGGUAGUUCCUUUUGUGUUCGGUAGUGGUAUUUCUUUUGUCUGUCAAAUGCUAGCAAACAAACCAGUGCCAUGGUGGCUAGGAUGGGUCCUCUUAGAUGUCCCUUCGGAUUACAAACCGUGCACGGACCAGUCAACAUUUUUAGUAUUAUACUACAUGACUGCUAAGUAUACAUAGAUUUAGGAAAAAUUACCUGCGGUGAUUCCUGCUCUAGCAUGUGUUCUCCUAAUUCUUGAAUUAUGAACUCAGACCAAGAUUUAUGAAUUCAGACCAAGCAGUGUAUGUACAAUUGGUUGCAGGUAAUAUUCCCACAGUAUCUUAUGUACGUCAUGUUCCAAGCAUCUUCAUUGUUCUCUAUGAUUGGCUGCACGUACAUCACCAUAGUGUUUCAUAAGCAUCAUGUCCCAGACAGUUAAAUCAAUUAUUGAAAUGUUUCGGGCGAUUCAAACUUACUAGAUUGUGAAUGACUUUCUACUUUGGGUAAUAAAAUCGAUGAUAUGUCUUUUCUAUGAUGUCUUGCUUUAUAUGAUCAAUAAUGUACAGGGAAUGACUAAUUUCUUGUAGCCUUUCCCAUGGUAGAUCAGUUUGGCCCCGCUGUGCUGCCUAACUGACUUCGAAUUUGCUGCCAUCUCAAGACCGCCACAGCUAGACCUUGACGGCAUCGGCCAUAUGGACUUGCAGAUCUCUGUGAAUUAUGUAUGUGCUCACGAGGACAUUCCCGUUGCAUCUGAAUUGACAAGUUGAAAGAAUCUGGUCUUUUUGUGCUUGCCUACAAAACUGUCAGAUCUUAUAUUAUAUUUGUUCGCCAAACAAAAACGACUGAUGGUUGAUUGUCUCAACCAUGAACGAGCAUUUCUGGAUUGUAGAACAAAGAGUGUCCCGAGCAAAAGGAUCAAGUGUUGGCAGGUGGGCAUCGGGAGUCCAGGUGGUUGGCUUCAGCCUUUGAGGUGUUGCCGGCUAGCGGCGCCGCUUCUGAGUGUCUCCUCAUCUCACUCCCGUGGCACCUUCGACUGUCCCCUACAAGAGUUAUCACAAUAUGAGAAGGCUCCAAAAGGUGUCACAGUCAGGAAUCUUUUUUCCAGGCAGCCGGUGAUGAUCAGGUAACCAAACCAUAUCACGGGCUGUGUGUUGUGUGGUCCGGCAAAGUAAGCUCUUCUUUUGUGGUAUGUGGAAAGUAAUGCUCUCCUUGUUAUUCAUUUUUGGAGCCGUUAAAUAUUUUUUCCCUCAUAAUAGUUUUAGAUGUUAUGCCUUAGCAUAUUAUAGCAGCAAGAAGUGAAUGUGUUUUAGCUCGUAUCUUCUAAAUUAGUGUCUUCCAUACCAUAUCAGAAAUUAAUGGUUCAUAUCAUGUUUUGUAUUUCUGUUAUAUCGUGUACUUCAAAAUUUGUAUCUCAACCUAGCCUUCAAAAUUAAGCUUAUCGGUCUUGGUAAUAGGAACCAAUGAGGUACUUCUGUAAAGUAAAUACAAAGAUGUACUAUAUAUAUGUGCAAAGUAUCAAUUCAGUACACCAAAUCCAAAUGCCAAGCAAGCACAAAGAUGUCAAAAGCAGUUAAAAUAAUCCUAAACAAUCUGAAAACAUAUAGCUUUGAAUAGACAUAUACUCCCUCUGUCCCAUAAUAUAAGACGUUUUUUGACACUACACCAGUGCCAAAAAAUGUCUUACAUUAUGAGACAGAGGGAGUAUUAUUUUGCUGAAGAGUUCAGUCCAUGCAUGAUUUUUGCCAUCUAAUUUUAUGUUCUGGGCUUAAAUCAGAUAGAGGCUUAAGAAUAUCUGGUUUAAAUAAUGACAGUCUUAAUUUGGAUAAAUAAAAUAACAAGAGCUUCAGACUAAUGUGGAAAAAUUGGUCAAAAUAUAAAAGUUCUAUCUGAUUGUUGAUUUAUAUAUUUUCCUCUAGAAAUGAAGAAGCUUAUUUUAUGGUUGUGAAUUGAAAUGACCGAUGUUUCAUUACUUCUUGAUUAUUGACCUCUUUUUACAUUGGCCAGUCGUAUAUAAAGGUUGCACUUACAUUUUUUUAUGGAAAAUGUCAAAGAGUUUGCUUCGGCUACUGUACAGGUGAGCUGCAUCUUCGUCCUGCUCCUUUGCUUCGGCUACUGUACGGGACAUAGCCAGGGCUAUGAUGAUCGGUUAUGGCUGAUAUAAGCCUGCUCUCGAGCAAUCGAGGCACUUGUGGGUAUUAAGUUGGAUACCCCCUCGUUUCUUUGAGCCGUUUUGAUCAUGUUCUUAUUUUAGUGGCUCUGUCCUUGGAUGGUCAUUUCUGAUGAGUGAUAACCAGGGCAGUUUCACCCUUGUAAGAACAUCCAGAAACAUGAGACCGAUCGAAAACCCCGACUCCUCAACGAUUUGGGCUUCCUGGCCGUCCGAUCGUUUUCCUGAUGCUAUUCUGGCCGUUGGAUCUUGCUCCGGAUCGAUCCUGGCCGCCGGAUCGAAACCCGGCGCUCUACCGACGGGUUAGCUCGUUUGGCUCGCAGCGUCGCUUACUCGGUCUAUUCGACCCGUGCUCGCUGGCGUGUGGAGCCCUUUGCGUGUGGGACGCGUUCAUCAGCGACCGUGUGUUCGGGCAUGGCCUGUGCGUCCAGUCACGUGCCCCACCGGUCGGAGGCCAUUCUUGCUAGGGCAAUGAUGAUUAACCAUGGCUGAAAUAAAUGUGCCUUUGAGCAAUCGAGACACCUGUGGGUAUCAAGUUGGAUCCUCCCUCUUGUCUCUAGAAUCCUUUUUGAUCUUGUGAUACUUAUUGUUCUGUCCUUGGAUGGUCAUUCUUGUUGAGUGAUAACCAGGGCAGCUCCACUCUAUAAACAGAUUUAUCUGGUGAUAAGAGAUGACGGGGGUGGGUCAUAUGAUCGAGAAAAGGCGAAUUUGAGCCCACCAUGCAUUGAACCCCGAAUCCUUUUUAUUUGUAGUUAAAGGUGUUGCUUAUUUAUGCUCUGGUGUUUAUAGCCGUCUUAUGUAAAGAUUUCUUCUCUCUCACACCUUUAUUGCAUAUAAGCUGUUCUUGAUCUUUUAUUGUGUGUUAUUGGUCCUUGAUUUAAUCUGGUUAAGAGUAAGUUGCACUUUGUUAUUCCGGGAUAAGAGAUAGUUCGGCAAUGCUAUUGGUUCUUCAUGAGGAUUUCAGAGGAGGAUUUCAGAUAUUAUUUUAUGGUUAACGGGUCUUGCCAGUAAGCUUUCUGUGUUUGUUUGCCGUGAGGAUCGAUGGGGCAUUGCACACUUAUGUGUACUGCUACCUGGUCAUCAUUGGUCUUUUGUUAUAAAGACCUUGCUAUGAUUUUGUAUGGUCCUUCUUCCCUAAGGUGUAUUAUGAGUGGUUUUUCGAGCUGUGGAAUGUAUUCCUAAUCCUGUUCUAUAGGCCUUUCUGAACUUGAUGUCUGAGUUCUACUGGACAAUGCUUAUUUGGCCAGAUGCUCAUGGGUUGAGUUAUUUGAUGCAUUGCUUUCACUAUCAAUUUGUUCGCUGCUUUGAGCAUCUAGCUGCAUACUGUAUUGUUUUGUAUUUGGUGCACUUUACCAAGAGCGCACAGAGGGAGAUCUUCUCCACCGCGCCGGUGACAGCAACAGGGAAAAACCAGUCCACGGUGUCAUAGGUUUGUGAUUCUUAUCUGUCGCCCAUUGUGGCGUGGGUUCAUGUUCUUGGGUUAUUAUUUCUUCUUUUCUAGAAUAUCUCUUCAAAUUUAUUGGAUAGUGUUGUUGGAUUGUGUCUCCCUAAAUUUAUUAGAUAGUGCAAUUGUUGGUUUGUUUUGAUUAAUCCCUGCUUGGUCAUUUAUCUUAGGGAUCAGACAUGUCUUCAACCCCUGAUUCGUCGAUGCUAUCGGAGCGCCCUUCGGCGGGGAGAAGGCCGAGGGCGAUGCCGUCCCCCAAUCCCAUGCCUCCAGCCCCUGCUUCUACUAGGCUACAUUUGAGAUGGAGAGGACUAGCCUUUGGAGCAGGCUAGAUAUGCUAUUGGAUAUUGAAGGAUUUGGAGCAGGCUGCGUUUUCUAUGACAGACUGGUUAUGCAUGGAUUUGGAUGUAAUACUUAAAAACAAGUGAUGUCUUCACAGUAAUAUCCAUGUACUUUUGAUAUGUGACUUCUCUUUGGCAUUGUUGUUCAUUAGGUUCAGUUGAAUCACCAUGGGCGACGCAAUGGCCGUCUGCUACAUCUCACAAGAUGCCAUUAGUUGUGUCCUUUUUGUAAUCACAUAUGUACCGAGCACUUGUUCUUCUAUGCGUAUGACUGUAUGGACUAUUAUGCUGGUUAUGCAAACUACAUGACACUUGUGCUUUCCACAA